UGAGCAUCCACUUUUGGCGAUACUCUUUGC
rnacentral:piRNA from 1 species